UCCCUCCCGGGGUCGCACCUGGAGAGUUUCCAGUCCUCUACCAGUCUCGACUACGAGAGGGAGAGUCAAGUAGAGGCCCACCUGUUCCAUUUCUAGCCUGGCCCGUGGCUAGCGAGUGGAAGGCGAUCUGCUACAAGU